CUGGAACUGGCCAAGCAGCACAGCCUGCAGCUGGAUGUGCCAACACAGUGGUUGGUGAAUACAAAAUCAGCCAUCUCAGACAGAGGCCAAGCAUCCUGGGAGAGAGAGCAAGCAGGAGAGAAAGAGACAAGAUCAGCCCGUGCAGAACACAACAUUUUAACGCCAGGGGCCAUUUUCUCUUCUUCUGUAAAACAAACAGUCAAAUAAAUACAUAACAGUAAAUAAUAAUAAUUAAUGAAUAAACAAAUGAGAGCCAUGGAGAAAGAUGCUUCCUAAUGUUGUCAGGCUGAUUCUUCCUCUGAUGGCAACUCCUAUUGUUCAGUCCUUGCACUGCAGUGAUAAGGAGCGUUUACCUCAACAGGAGUGUUCUGUUUGCUGCUGGUUACUGUGACAUGUGUCAACAGAAGGGUCUUUUUUUAUCAUCUCUGUACAAAUCAGCACGUCUGAUCAAAGCUGUGACUCCCCUAUGGGACCAAACCAACUGGCAAAGGUGCCCUGGUGGCCACUCAGUCCAAGGUAAUCAGAACUCUAUAGUUCCUGUCUGCUGGCACCCCUAAAAGCUGCAGGCCCCCUGUCCCUCGAGCCAUUGAGCACCACCCAGGAUAUCUCCCAGGCCUCCUCGGAUGCCUGGGAAGGAUCUUCAGCCGAACACCACCGCAGCCACCUGCCAGAGUCCAGGGACCCGCAGACGAGCCAGGGUGCAGGAGGACCCGAUGCAUCAACAUGUCAGACCUUGAAUGGGAGCAAAUGAUGAUGCGGUGUGACACCAUGUGCGGCAUCAUGUCCUGCUUGGUGGAACACUCACCUGAUGCCGGUGCUCCUGGCUUCCACCCUCCUGCUCCCCCUCCUGUGGCCUUUGCCCAUCUGC